CACUACACAGCUGAAGCUCUUUUAAGUAUAUUGCAUAGCUGUAAAGGAAUUUCACUGCAUUCAUGGCUGGGAUGCUAAAGAAUGUCUUUAUUUAAUUUACUGGAGGCUCCUACUCUCUUCUACUCCCCAAACCACAGAGAAUAGACAGACAGAGUUGCAAGACCGAGUAUAUUUCCAGGAAGUUUUCCCAUGCUGUGGGCACACCAAAUUCCAAAUUCAGACCAUCAGAGGAGGAGGCCGGACCCGAGUGCACAACUUUGACUUUUACAUUCUCCAAGAUCUGCCUGGCUCUUAUCCUGGGAUUCCUUUGCUGGAAAUGUGGCCUUGAGGGUCUCUCCAUCCACACCAGCAGAGUGGCUCAUCCAGAUAAGGAGGAGAAAGAAGAGGACGUGGAAUGACAUGUUCCAAGAGAUCCUGCAAGCCUCUACUGCUUCGGAUACCGAGCACAGAGCUUGGAGGAACACCCUCGUCGACAGCAUGGCCAGGGAUAGAGUGGAGAGGAGAACCGUGCAGGAAAAGGAGAGGAACGUUCAGCAGGAGAUCCUAGUGUUUCUCAAGCAGCAAACAGACACUCUGCAGAUUCUUGUUGAUCUUCAGGUUCAACAGUGUAAUGCUCACCCCCCUCUGCAGCCCAUAGAGAACUGCAUUUCGGGACCUCCCUCCACCCUCCCCCCAUGCAUUCCACAUGAUGUCUGGGGCAGUUGCACUACCCGUACUACUCCACACCAGGGGAGAGUACAGGCAAUCACAGCUGCACAUACACUGACCUGUGAAAGACAUGAUUGCUGUAUGUGCUUCUGAAAUGGAAAUGACUGUUCUUUCCCCUCUAUUUAUUGAGUUUUAUUUAGUUACUAGUUUGUCUGUUUGCAUGGGUAUGGGAUAAAAGUCUAUUUAUGGAAACCUAAUUAUCUUUAUUAGUUCACAGCAUAUGCUAGCUGGGGCUGACAUCAUUCACAGAUAAUAGUAAUAGGUGCAUUUGCAAUGUUAUAUUACC